AUUUUGAAUCUUACGAAUUUUUUCAAAAAGCGUAAAAACGAUUUGUUUCCAAGUCACCUGGAGAACAUACGUUAGCAGUGUGACAAUGGAGAGUUCCUUACACUUUCUCACUCUCUCUCUCUCUCUUUUUUUCUGAUGCGACGUCUUUUUCUAGCUUAAAGGAGAAUAGGGAAAAAACGCUUGCCACAUGGCUCGUCUGUAAAGUCCGCCCUCGCAAAAUAUACUAACACAGAGACGUAGUAAGAAUGAACGAAGUCCUCGAGUCGGUCGGCCGUUCGACACGCCGUAUGCUCGAGGAAAAUGGCUCGUCCAUGAAGGAUGGCCACGAAACAGAAAGAAUAUAUCAAAGCGUAGGGUAUUGUAAAGACUCGCCACUAGAAUUUCGAGGCAGGGGGUAUAAGAACGAUGAAAGGACCUGGAGAGGGGCGGAGAUUCGAGCUGCUGGCUAUUUCAAAGAAUGACUGAAAGAACGAGCGAGAGAGAGAGGGAGAGAGAACGUUCAGGUGGUGGCACUGAACUUGAAACUCGCCUUCGCGGAACACAAAAGAAGGAAAUACGGAAUUACGUUACUUUGAGAUCUUGUAAAAUCAACCGACGUGUCCUAGGUUGAAAUUGUUGAGAGGAGGAUGACGUUGAAAUACAUUUUGCUCGAAUAAAGAACAUUAGAUACAGAAAUCAAACUCGUAUAUAUGGACCAUGUUACUUCAAAUGAAAGAUCGUAGAUACAGCCACGUCCUUGAUGUUCCAAUUUAAAAGUAUUGUAACGACGAGAAUCUUGCUUGGUUCUGAGAAAGAUAGAUAGAGAGAGAGAGAGAAAUUGCGACCACCCAUGCAGAAUAUGUCGAAGAGCGGGAACAGGAGCGUGUGUAGGAGAUACGAGUUUGUCAUCAUGGCGAAAGAGAACCACCAUAGCGCUCUACCGAGGAUAUAAUGUUACACUCUGGUAGUCGUCUUGGUGUGGGAAAGCCGCCAAGAUGGAAGUGCAAUAAGAAGUGGUAACGCGUAUACCGUCGUACUGGGUUCAUAGCAGCAGCAUCAUCAAGAGAAUUGUGGUUAAGGAAUACCGUAACGGCCAAGGCACAUGCAACGAGAACACGAUAUUCUCGCGUUGUUAUUCUUUUUCUUUUUUCUCUUUUUAUCUCCUCUUGUAUUCUAAUAUUUUAAAUAUGUCAGGUAGA